UCCAGAGCGAUGUUGAGUUUUCAUUAGCCUGGGAAUAGAUCUUUAUGUCCGGAAUUAUGAGAUGGGUUUUGCCAUGGGGGAUGGCUGGAUGAAGAGGAUGUCCAGUUUGUGUACAUACUCUUAAGGCAUGAUUACGAAUAACUUCACUUCCUAUAAACAAUGUGACUGGAGAAAUUACUCACAGAUACAACAAAAAGGGGAAGAAAGUAGCUUGCUAAUUGGUCACCUGGCAUCCACUUGCUGCACCCCAGUUCAUUUGUCACAUUGUUGCCGUUGGAGGUUUAAAGAUGAG